rnacentral:rRNA from 1 species
AUUGAACGCUGGCGGCAGGCCUAACACAUGCAAGUCGAGCGGAGCGGCGGACGGGUGAGUAAUGCCUAGGAAUCUGCCUGGUAGUGGGGGAUAACGUCCGGACACGGGCGCUAAUACCGCAUACUAUUACUUGACUCUAGGUCGGAUUAGCUAGUUGGUGGGGUAAAGGCCUACCACGGCGACGAUCCGUAACUGGUCUGAGAGGCUGAUCAGUCACACUGGAACUUAGACACUGUCCAGACUCCUACGGGAGGCAGCAGUGGGGAAUAUUGGACAAUGGGCGAAAGCCUGAUCCAGCCAUGCCGCGUGUGUGAAGAAGGUCUUCGGAUUGUAAAGCACUUUAAGUUGGGAGGCGUUACCAACAGAAUAAGCACCGGCUAACGUCGUGCCAGCCGCCGCGGUAAUAC